AUUAUGCCAUAUAGUGCUCGCUCCGGCAACACACAUACAGAGAUUAGCAUAGCCCCUGUGCAAGGAUGACAUGCAAAUUCAUGAAGUGUUCCAUAUUUUC
rfam:Mesocricetus auratus contig153339, whole genome shotgun sequence.